AUCAAAUCUGCAGUCUUUUUGUAUUUUUUCAAAAUUGUUAAAUUUCCAGAAAUAUCCUUUUUUUAUUUUGAAAUCGAUAAAAGCAUGAUAAUAUCAGUUAUUUUAUAUUCAAUUGAAGGUCAUAUGCAUAGAAAUUGUAAUAUGCACUGGGCACACACAACCAUUCAAAAGUGUAAGAAGGGUUGCGUUCACUGUAGGUGGAUUAAGUCGGGUUUUUGGAUAUUGUUAUGAUCUUCGCACGCGUAGUGAAUUUUAUUUGUUUCGUGUCAUUACGUGUCAUUAACCAUUGAAACCAACAGCGACAAAAAUAUUCAAUAACAUGCAGAAGAGAAAAUCAUACUGCACCGUGUGAAAUUCGGAAAUUGUAUGUGGAAGAUGGUAAAGCAUUCGAGCACGCCUUUCCGGAGGAAAUUCCACGACGAUUGACACGGAACAAAAUAGCCAUCUUCAUCGUAUCGUUCAUCCGCUUCCACGAGUGCCGUAGCCCUCAAACAAAUCGGCCGUUGAGACAUCGAAGAGGACGGCUGGAAGUACAAACUCGUCGCAAAAUACCAAUCGGAAUGCAGAUUGUGAAAUGUCCGUCCAACUCCGGCGUAACACCGAUAAAAACCUAAAUAGCAGUCACAAGCGGACGCAGGACGACGAUGCUUUUACGGCGAUCACAGAAUCGGUAACGUUAUAUCAAUGGUGAACUGCCAAAUAACUGCGGUUAGGAUGGGGGUUGACUGUAAGUUCAACGGGUAUGCCAUGCCGCUACUUUUCCAGUUUGCGAACUAAAGAUUGGCAACGAAGUGAACUAACAGUUAGAUGGAGUUAGGAGUCAGAUGAUGCCGAGGCUGUGGUCGUUACGAAUUGGACGCGAUGAAGACAAAUGUGGUGCAUGAUGAACCUCAGCGCCAGAGUCUCCAUGAAGUCAACCCUGGUCUACGUUGCAGUGUUUCUUUUUACGAAAACGCCGACCCCUCAAGAUGGGAAAAUUUCUACCGUGGCGGAAAUUCGUCCCUCCAGCCUGAUGCUGACAAACUCCUCCGUUUCGUUUACGACGCUGCUGAUUCUGACCAUGGGAAGCUUUGCUCCAUCAAGAAGCCUCGCAAGAAGCAGCGAAUUAGUGUCCAUACAAGAAUAGAAAUUAAGAACCUUGCAUAUAGUGCUUGACGAUGUGAUAGCAGGUCAAUGCGUACCUCGGAAGAUGGACUGCUGCAUGUUUUCCUCAUCGCUACGAUAGUGUUCCAUAUGAAUGAUAGAAAAUAUUGGUUGUGCAUUACAUCACGAAGAAUAAAUAAAAAUAAUAAUAUAUUUGUUUAGAUUUGUACAUAAAUCAUUUUACAAAUAAAAAGAAAAAAAAGUAACAUAACCUAAAAAAUAUGGAUCAUUAUUUAGACGGCACAAUUAAACCUAAAGAGUAAUAAAGUCCAUUUAUACUAAUCCUCGAAUUUUUAAAAGUUAUACUAUGCCGGUAUAGUCGAAUCAAAUACGAGCUUGGGGUCAACCAGGCGAAUAGGCAAUUAGUAUGACUUUUAACCUAUUAAGUAUAAAUUUAUUUCUGAGUGUAGGGUUUGUCCUCCGUCGAAUGCAACUUGUUGGGAGGAAAUCAGUUAAUAAUUACUAUAUGAAAAAGUGGCUAAUGUUUUUCGGUUUUCGUGU